rnacentral:rRNA from 1 species
AGCCUGAUGCAGCAACGCCGCGUGAGGGACGACGGCCUUCGGGUUGUAAACCUCUUUUAGUAGGGAAGAAGCGAAAGUGACGGUACCUGCAGAAAAAGCACCGGCUAACUACGUGCCAGCAGCCGCGGUAAUACGUAGGGUGCAAGCGUUAUCCGGAAUUAUUGGGCGUAAAGAGCUCGUAGGCGGUUUGUCGCGUCUGCUGUGAAAACUGGAGGCUCAACCUCCAGCCUGCAGUGGGUACGGGCAAACUAGAGUGCGGUAGGGGAGAUUGGAAUUCCUGGUGUAGCGGUGGAAUGCGCAGAUAUCAGGAGGAACACCGAUGGCGAAGGCAGAUCUCUGGGCCGUAACUGACGCUGAGGAGCGAAAGCAUGGGGAGCGAACAGGAUUAGAUACCCUGGUAGUCCAUGCCGUAAACGUUGGGAACUAGAUGUGGGGGCCAUUCCACGGCUUCCGUGUCGCAGCUAACGCAUUAAGUUCCCCGCCUGGGGAGUACGGCCGCAAGGCUAAAACUCAAAGGAAUUGACGGGGGCCCGCACAAGCGGCGGAGCAUGCGGAUUAAUUCGAUGCAACGCGAAGAACCUUACCAAGGCUUGACAUAUACGAGAACGCUGCAGAAAUGUAGAACUCUUUGGACACU